rnacentral:sRNA from 1 species
CACACCCUUUCCAUAAUAUGACUAAGGACAUUAAAAAAUUCAUAGGAGACAUUUCAUGCACACUUUAAUAUGGUCUGAAAGUUCUUGUUUUGUUUGAACUCAUCUACAAUAGUUAUUUUGAUGCCCUUUUCUUUCUAAGUAAGAUUAAGAUAUUGGUCAUUAUGUUGCCUUUGAAAAUGGCUUUGUCAUCAAAACCGGCUGACAGAUAUCUUGAAAUACAGUGCUACAAAUAGCCCACCUGCUUUAAAUUCCUGUGUUGAACUUCUAGGAUGGUGGUUUUAAGGAAGUUUCCUCCAUGCUGACUGGCUCUCGGAGUCCUGAAAAGUGCUAUGUGGGCUUCUGAGAGGUGGAGGAGCUUCAACAGUCUUACACCGCUGUGAAUCCUGUGAACUACAAUAAUGACUGGUCCAACAAUGAACACCCAUGGGUGUGUGUGCUUGUGUCAUGAAUGUAUGGUGACCACCAAGUGCUUUCUGAAUGGAUUUAAGGUCUUGCUCCAUGACAGGAAAAGAUAUGGGGUAGAGAAAAUCUGAAGAACAAUCUGAUUGGGGAGCUAACUCUGCUAGCAAUGGCAGAACCCUCUACUAUUAUUCUGCUAAGAAACAUUGUAUCAAAAUACCCUCUAAAUUUGUAUCUCUACCCACAGAAUUUGUAUCUCUCUACACACAGGUUAGUGCAGCUCCCAGACUUCAUCCGGAAAGUUUCUUUGUGCAGUGGGCAGCAGUUAAGACAGAAACUCACAGCUGGUCAAAGUAUAGAGGUUAAAAUGCAAGAGUACUCAACCACAAAUGAGGCACGCAUAUCAGUGCCCAAGCCCUACCACGGCACAAGGACUGUCUGGAACAAGGACUGUCUUGGAAGAAGGGUAGAAGCAUUGCAAGAGUCAGAGGUCAGAGAGAACCAGAACCAAACAGUGUCUUCUGGUUAUGACCACACUUGUGAAUUAGAAGUAGCUCUGGUUACCUGUAUGAGAUCAAGACAGUCAACAUUCUAGUCUGAAGGUGGCAGAGGCUCAUAAGUCUUCCCUGCUGACUGAGGAGACAUGGAUAGUUGAUGGCUUUGAAGAGAAGUGGAAUCUGUUUUCUUCAAGGGUGUGGUCUCUGGUAGGUUAACCACACUUUAACAGAUGGUCCCACACCCAAGAGUACAUAAGAGACAAUGGGACAAAAUGGGAGGGAGUGACGUGGGGUUGGGAGGUUAGAAAGGUGCGGUAGAGAGGAGAGGAGUUAGGGGUGGGUGAAUAUGAUCAUACCUAGAGAUACAAAUUUACAGGGUAUUUUGAUACUAGGUCAUGAAUAUAUUGUAUACAAUUCUCAAAAAGUCAACUUAAAAAGGUUAUUUAAAAUGAGAGAUGGUCUUAAAGUCAGACUAUCUUCCUUGAGAAUCACUUGAAGGUAAUAAGAAGGGAAAUUUUUCUUUUAGUGAAAACUUCAUUUUUUUUCUUUUAUUAAUCAGUCAGGAGAAUGCCCCCACACUACUAACCAGAUGGGUGGUCCAACAAAAAUAGAGCAAGUGGGGUUACCUGUAGUAGAAAGGGGAGGAGAUGAUGCUGUGGCCUUGGGUCUUGGGUUAAAGGCCAGAACAUGUUUCUUGGUGAUAAGAAACACCCUGGUGAGCAGAGAGGAAGAGCAGAGAGAAGAGCUUGUUUGCAGCAGUAGAGCAGGGGCACAAAGCUGCUACUAAAGCUAAUGUUGAGAAUGAGAAACCACACUGACCAGGGCGGUUACAGCUUGUUACUGUAGUAACCAGCAAACAAAUAUUCUACUCCGAGUUCCCCAUGGGCUGGGAAGAGGUAAGGAUUAAAGGACCAGCCAGUAAGAGUCAGGGGUGAUCAGGAAAGGUCUAGUCCCAUGCUCUUCCCAACAAAAACCCCCAAAGGUUGCUGAUCCCAGAAAAGUACACUUCCCUCAAAGGUAGCUAAUCAGAGGAUCAAAAGGAACUGUCUCAGGAAGUAUUCACAGUAGCCCAUGGUAGGAAAAGAGAGAACUACUCACAGUAGCCUAUGGUAGGAAGAGGGAAAGAAGAAAACAGCCACAGAUAGAACACUUACCAUCCAGAAGCAGACAGGAACAGAAAGCAAACACAGGCAAUUUGAAAGUUCUAAUGAGUCGAUUUGCUCCUCCCAAACAAUUAGGUAUAAAAAACAGGGAAUGAAUAAAGGUCAGCCAGCUCAUCUCAGAAGGACGCAGGACACCACAAAUGCACCCCGAAUCCCCGACAAUGCCUGAGUAAGUCUGUGGAGACUCACUCUUACCUGAAAACUCCUAUCACCACAUCUAAGCCUGUCCUGAGUACUUCUCACUGAACAACGGUCUCCUGGUCGCUGAUGCAGCAUGAUCGGCCGGCUUCACUCUUGUCUCCAUGCCUUCCCCACCGUGAUGGAUCAGAGUCCCUCAAACGGCCAUGCAUCACUCAUGCAGUGUCGGCCAGCAGCAAAGCCAACAGUAAGCACAGACAAAGGCUGUGGACCACCCUGGCUGCCACCACCACCACUCUGAGCUGCAGAGGCUCUUGCCUUAUACACACCAUCCCUCCCUCCUUCCCCCGUCAGCUUCACUUCAUCUUCUGAGAUAUACAUCUGUGUAGCCCUUGCCCAACUGGAGCCCUGACUCCAUGAUCAAGAUUACCAAUUCCAUGAUCCUUGAACCUCAUUUGUUGCUAUUUUCCUCUAUCUCUAAGCAACGGGCAACUUCCCCAGUGGACCAGUGUGUGUCAGCAAGGAUAGUGCCAGGAAUAGUGCCUCAUGGACGCCACUUGCCCUGGCUUGGAUGAGGAUGUAGGAUGAUCCCUCCAUCAGGGAUCCAGAGAGGAUCUCAACCUCAGGUCCCUUAUCACCUCCUAUGUGUAAAGCUCAGAACUGUGAGGAAUAUUGGAAAAGAAAUACUACGAUUCUUGAGGAAACAUAGCUAACACAAAAGAAGGUAAACCAGACUGUCCAUUUCACUCAGCGCUGUCUUUACGGAAAUAUUACAGGAGGAAGGGGCAGAGGAUCAUUUUAGAGACGGUGCUGGGCUUUUGCUAUUAUGAAAGUUGUCCGAUGCAAGAUGGCCUAUUCCUAAUACCAAGACCUAAUCAAAAAUAGUAACCGUAAAGCUAGGAGGUUUGGGAGAAGGGACUGACAUCGGGACCUCAAUGUAAAGACCCACGAUGUGUGCAUCUCAAGUGUGAAGGGUUGUGAUAAGCGUCAGGCGUCACUGCUCUUCCUCCCUGGUGAUGGAGACACCCUUGGCUUUACAGAAACAUGCUUCACAUGCCAACCUUCCCAUGCCGUCCUGGAAGUUAUAUCACAUCCUACGCAGAAGCAAAGCCAAGAGCUCAGCAAAGAGUUGGGCUGCAUCUCAUCAGUGUCCCCACCUGGGUGCCCUGAAGCCACUUGUUGUCCAUCUCCUGAUGAACGUGUUUUAUAAGCACAGUUCAAAAAGCACAUCUUUGCAAAGUUUGAGCAGAUUAUCAGCUUGGCUUCCUCUCUAUCGAUCAGCCUUGCCCUAGCGUCCCUGAGAAAUUAAAUCGUUCAGCCAAGACAUGUACUUCAUGAGGUUUCAUAUUAGUGCCCUGGACGCUUUCAUCUAGGAGGCCUCAGACGCACAAAGAUUUGUUCAGCACUUCUCCGGGUAGAGAGGAGCACCCUCCAGGAUCUCAUCCCUGCUAAAAUCACCUAAAACACAACAAAAACCAUCCUCCUUCAAGUUUAUGGAACAUGUUCACGCAUGGGCUCCCUGUACUACACAGGAAGACGGUCAAGCAAGUAAGGGUUGUGAUGUAUUGUUCUUACGUGUUGUAAAACGGUGUUGUUGUAAGAUCUGAGCUUUUUGUCAGAAGGUGGGUAAGAAACAGAUACGCUGUUUUCUCUAUUUGGAUCCCAGUUCUGAGGAAGGGAUCUCUUCAGCAGUGGUGUGGACAGAUUGAUGACUCGGCCAGUUUACCCACCCUACAACGGAGCCCACUGAAGUAUUAAUGUUACUUGAAGGACAGGAAACUGUGAACCCUGUGGUCUGGAGACGGCUGGAGCCAAUUCAGACACAUGGGACAGAACUCCAUCAGCGUUCAUUCUUAGAACAUCCAAGGUCAGGCACCUUCACGGAAGCAGCUGUGGCAGAAGCAAGCCACGUCUUGAGUGGCUCGGCUUCGAAACUGGCAUUAAAGGCAAACUCCUGUUGGUGAUGUGAGAGCUCUGCUUUCUGUUUAGUUUCUAGACUCGCCCACUAAAGAGGCAAACUAAAACUCCUAGCUGAGUUCAAGAAUAUUUGUCAAGUGAUUUGGCAACCUUAGUGUUCCUAAACAAUUCCAAUGUUUUCCUGAUUACGGCUUUUCCUCUUACCCUUGAGUUUCUCCCACAUUAAAAUGUGUUCAUCCACUCCUCCAUUGUUGGUGGGA